rnacentral:lncRNA from 1 species
AUUCUAGGUGCUUUCUCGACACGUCGAAGAAGCCACUCUGAAUGUGGUGGAUGUGGGCCAUGCUGGUUCCCGGCUCAGCUCCAGCGGGUCUCCGGCUGGAGUAAUCAUUGCGUCCAAUCAAUUUUAGUGGGUGCAGAAAAUGUUCACUCCCAAGCAGGUUUUCAGCUGGACUCCCGAGGCCGAAGCCGCUUUCAGCAGGCUGAAGAGCCUGUUCUCGUUGUCGCCCAUCCUCGCGCAACUCGACCCCAGUUGGCAGUUUGUGGUGGAGGGGGAUGCCCCGGAUCCUGGUGGAGGUCCACCGAACCAGCUGUUCGUCCUGGAGGCGGUGCGGUCUGAUGUCCUGCAAUGGGCCCACGCCUCAAAGUUGACCUGCCACCCGGGGGUCAAUCACCCACCUGCCGUGGAGUGCCGUGGUCCCAGCGUCCACCGGACUGUCUCCCUUCAUGGCAUCCCUGGGGUACCAGCCUCUGUUAUUUGAGAUCCAGGAGGACGAAGUAGCGGUACCCUCGGUACAGGCCAGCAUGCGCCGUUGCAGGAGGGUGUGGAGGCAAGUCCGUGCUGCACUCCUGCGUCUCAGAAGCUGGCUCCUCGCUUCGUGGGGCCCUCUGAGGUGGAGCGGAUGGUGAAAGCUGCAGCCGAUUCAUCCUUGACGACGGCCUCCUCCAUGACUUCUACCACACCCAGACUUUGUGAACCUUGUGUUUUGAAUAAAGGCACUUUUAGUUCAUUUUUCCCCACUGUGGGUUGCCUGCUUUUGGGUCCUGAGACAACCAGUUCUAACAAACGACAUAUUUAGUCAUAUUUCUUGUCCUGAUUCUAAUCCUUCUCCAUCUUCUCAUAAUAGAGUAAAUAUGCUGUUUUCUGCAGCUGCUGGCACACAUGGUUAAAAUUUGUUUCUGUGACAACGUCGUCAUCGUAUGUCACCCAGCAGGCAUUCCCAUCCCCUUGGCUUGCGUUUCGAUAAACUCCGUCACAAAUGUAAUGGCCUGUGAAGGAAGGAACUGCUUUGUUAGUGGUCAAACUAGAAGGUUGGUUUUCAACACAGUACUGACAGCGAAACACUGACCGCUGGUAGUGCAACUCCCCAAAUAGUUGAAGAUGCUCCUCAGAGUAUAUUUUGUCUACAGAAAAUAAAAAGAACAAGCCAUUAGCUCCACUCUUUGAGCCAUUUCAGAUUGAUGACUGCUUAAAGGUUUAUCAAGGGUUUACCUUCUCACUGCUCUGAUUUGUAUGGAGUAGCAGCUCCCUGGAUAAACACGUGGCUUUGUGUAUUUUUUGCGCAGCAAAGUAGGACCACUUAAAUCUCAAUAGGUGGAUGAUCAGCACACUAUCGAGAAGAAAAGGGGAGGGAAGAGGAGAUGUAGAGACAGUUAGGGCCUUUAGAAGGCAGCAGAUGUGAGGAUGCUGAGAUGGCUGGUUCUCACUUUGGCAGAGUGAAGAAGGAUCUUUGCUCUGUCGUCUGGGAGGCGCCACAGUGACAUUGGUAAUCCAGCAGUUGCUCCUGCAGAAUCAACAACAGUUGUGAGGUUCAACAGCUCCUCCAUCAUUCACACAUGAACACCAAACAUGUGUCCCUUACUUUCAGGUACAGCUGUAUUCCUUGCAUGAUGGUGUCCUCAGGCGCCACGGACAGGUUCAAACACUCCUCCAUAUUUUCACGUUCAUGGCCACAACUGUAAUUCAAGAGAGGAUUCAAGUAACUAAGGAUUCAACUAAACAAGUUCAACACCGAUGCAGGAGCAGAAGGUUUCCAGGUAUAUUCCCACCUGUGGCACAGCAUGGUGCUCAACAUCUGGAAGCUGAUGUGAGCCUCCACAGGGCAGGUGUAGCUCUGCUGUUUCUCAUUUGCCAAUGACCUGAUCUCUGCAGAGAUGGAGCUCAGCUGUUCCAGGAUGGUGUUCAAAAAUUCGUGGGCAUCCUGCAGACAGACCAAAGUGUCUAGUCCAGAAAAGAUCAGGAUGAUGCUCUUGAAAAUAAAAGAAUGAUUACUUGUUGGGCAUCAUUUCUAAAUUCUGGAUGAUGCAGGGCAAUGGUCCGCAGGAAUUUAAAGAGGGUGGACUUCUCUUGCAUUCUGUUUUUAGUCGCGAAGCCAUUGUUGAUGUCACUGAGCAACCUGGAGAAAGGAGAAAGCAGAUGUUUUUCAUUCAUUGCAUUAAUGCCAUAGAAUAAUGGGGGCACGUGAGCUUGUGUUGUACUUGAAAAGCAGAGCUUUUGGGUGCGAAAGCCACUGUUGACUCUGUUUGUUGGGCUCCUUCACAAAAGGCAUGGGGGUCAGGAGGCUCUGGAGAACAGAGUUCAUAUAGCAGGUCUGGGACAGGUUGGGGAGCCUGAAACACAAGAAAAACUGAGCAAAGUGUUGUUGUUGAUGAUGAUAUGCAAAAUUUAUUACCCAUAACAGGCCAGUUCAUCAGAUGUAAGGGUUCUCCCACUUUCUAUUCUGCUUCUCGAGACCACAUAGUUUAAGGCCUCCAGGAAUCUAUUCUUUGUAGCACUAGGCUGUGACGUCACAGCCAAAACAGCCGCCAGAUGUGAAGAAAGCGAGUCUUCCUCAUUCUUCUCCUCCAGGCUCUGUUAGUUAAAGGCAAAGCAAAAUCAGCUCAAUCUAUUAAAAAUGUACCUGGUGACCUGGGUGCCACUGACACAGGACGAAUAUAUCUCUGGGUCUUCUUCAUCUGUGGACCCCAGGCUCUGUUAAGAAUAAAGCAAAAUCAGCUCAAUCUAGAAAAACAAAGUCAAAAAUACAUCAAUGUUAAUUAUAGAAAGAGCAUUUUUACAGCUUGUUCGACAUCACUGCUGAAUGUGGAGGAACAGGGGCUGUCCACCAGACACGUGUCCACUUCUCCGGCCAAUGCAGGACACUUUGGUCUCUGUUGGAAGAGUAGACAGGGUCCAUGUGAAACAUCGGGAACUGGUGUUAAAUUUUCUCUAUCACAAGAGAAAAAUGUACCUGGUGAGCCUGGCUGGUGGACUCUUGCCGAGGGCUCUUCAGCCAGCUCCUCCUGUUCGGUGUCACUGACACAGGAAGAAUGUAUCUCUGGGUCUUCUUCAUCUGUAGACCCCAGGCUCCGUUAAGAAUAAAGCAACAUCAGCUCAAUCACGUUAAACAAAGUCAAAAAUAUAUCAAUGUUAAGUUUAGAAGAAGCAUUUUUAUAGCUUGUUCAAUGUCGCUGCUGGAUGUGGAGGAACAGGGACUGUCUACUGGACACGUGUCUUCUCCUCCUUCCCCUGCAGGACACUUUGGGCUCUGUUUGUUGGAAGAGGAGACAGGGUCCAUGUGAAACAUAACUACCUCAGAAUGUCCCACAAACAUUCUCUCUCGGUGGUACCCAUUUUCCAUCAGCCACAGAGAAAUGCAUGAAGAGCCUCAGGAAAAACCUUUUACUGCUCCCUAAAGGGUGCCCCUUCCAUCAGGGAGGCCAACGAUCUGCUGACUUCAGCCCACACGUAAGUCUUUGGAAAAAUCAAGGCAAG